rnacentral:lncRNA from 1 species
GCAUCGAAUAAAUUGUUAAUGAAUUUAUAUGUGAUUUAUGAAUUUUACGAGAUGAUGCUUUGAAUGAAAAAUGGAUAUGUGAAUUGGAAUAAUAUUUUUCGGACUAUUGUUAUAUUACUAUUCUUGCAUUGUAUAUGCAUAUUUAGAUCGGAUUAUGAUAUAUCUAUUAUGUUACAAAAGAAUUUUGAUGUGCAUCAAAUUUAGAACUCU